AGGAAAAAGAAACUGUGAUAUGGAUAUUGCUUCUUAACUGUAAAACCAAGGAACAAUCUGGACUUUGUAAGAGCUACAACAAAGUGAGAUUUCUCUCCCUUUGGCACAUGCAUGCAUUUUGUGGGUGUCUUCAUAAAGGACUCUUUGUGGCUGAGUAUAAAGUGGCUUUGGGCAGUGGUCUCCAAACACCUCCAACUAGGUCCUCCUGACUCCAGGUGUCCACUGUGCCACCUACCGACCCUGAGCUUGAGUACACUGAAACAAGAGAAGUUGAUUACAUACCUCAAAGGGGCCCCAAUUUGGAGACUACUGUCUUCGGGAACACACCAAGAGCUUUUCUUUCUAGUCUUAGCUACUCUAACUUUGUAAUGUUCAAGCUCCAAAAUGUGAGGCUACGAGGUUGAACUUAAAUCAAGUCAAAUUCCAAAUUCAAACACCACCACCUCAGGACCUGACAAGAAUCAGUGAACUUUGGAAGUCCUAACCCUAAGAGGAGCUGAUGUGACCCCUUGUAAAAAGAGAUGCAUGAAUG